rnacentral:misc_RNA from 1 species
UUUCCGUAGGUGAACCUGCGGAAGGAUCAUUAAAGAGAAUAUGCCCGUCGGGGUUGCUCCCCCACCCUUUGUUUAUUUUACCUUUGUUGAUUUUGCAGCCCCGUCUUCGGACCACCGGCUUCGUCUGGGCAGUGCUAGCCAGAGGACCAAAAACUCUUUUUAUUAAUGUCGUCUGAGUACCAUAUAAUAGUUAAAACUUUCAACAACGGUUCUCUUGGUUAUGGCCUGAUGAAGAACGCAGC